GCAGUGCUCAGCGCUGUCACCCUGUCGCCCGGUCUGUCUCAAUGAGUUCACCUGGAGCUCCCAGAAGCCAGAAAAUAGACCCACUGAUCUUUGAGGAUGUGGAUGUGAACUUCACCCAGGAGGAGUGAGAUUUGCUGAAGUCUUCCCAGAAGAAACUCUAUUGAGAUGUAAUGCAGGAAACCCUCAAGAACUGGUUCUCUGGAAAAAAAAAAAAAUGGGAACACCAGAACAUGGAAGAUCAGUACAAAAAUCCAAAGAGAAAUCUAAGAAGUCAAGUGGCAGAGAGACUCCGUGGGCAUAAAGAAGAAAAAACCUUCAGCCAGAUUCCGGAUCAUAUUGUGGCCAAG
rnacentral:lncRNA from 1 species